UCGAGGGGGGGCCCGGUCACGAUUAGUCCAAUUUGUUAAAGACAGGAUAUCAGGUGGUCCAGGCUCUAGUUUUGACUCAACAAUAUCACCAGCUGAAGCCUAUAGAGUACGAGCCAUAAUAGAAUAAAAGAUUUUAUUUAGUCUCCAGAAAAAGGGGGGAA
rnacentral:misc_RNA from 1 species